CGGGGUGAGUAACGCGUGGGUAACCUGCCUCAUACAGGGGGAUAACGAUUGGAAACGAUCGCUAAUACCGCAUAAGCGCACAGUACCACAUGGUGCAGUGUGAAAAACUCCGGUGGUAUGAGAUGGACCCGCGUCUGAUUAGCUAGUUGGUGAGGUAACGGCCCACCAAGGCAACGACCAGUAGCCGACCUGAGAGGGUGACCGGCCACAUUGGGACUGAGACACGGCCCAG
rnacentral:rRNA from 1 species